UACGGAGGGUGCAAGCGUUAUCCGGAUUCACUGGGUUUAAAGGGUGCGUAGGUGGGCUUGUAAGUCAGUGGUGAAAUCUCUGGGCUUAACCCGGAAACUGCCAUUGAUACUAUAGGUCUUGAAUUUUCUGGAGGUUAGCGGAAUAUGUCAUGUAGCGGUGAAAUGCUUAGAUAUGACAUAGAACACCGAUUGCGAAGGCAGCUAGCUACAGGAACAUUGACACUGAGGCACGAAAGCGUGGGGAUCAAACAGG
rnacentral:rRNA from 1 species